UAUACUAAUUUCUCUCAUUAAAUUUCAUUAUUAAUUGAUGUUGCUUAUGUAAAAUUCAUGCAAGAAUCAUCAUCUUUUUUAUCCUUAGUUCCUCAUAUCUCAAAUUUGGGUUUUUAAGUCCAUGAAAUCAUUGUUUAAAGCUCAAGAUCGGAUCUAGCAUUUGGAAGAAAUUUUGGUAAUCAGGCGAAUCAAGGACGUGAUGCAUGAUUUCUACUUGCUUUUGACUCGGGCUUGGACUUACAUGGAUCAAGGAUUCAUUCGCCACUUUUGCAUUAUCCUUAGGAUCGAUAGCCAUCGUUAGACUAUUAUUUUGUAAAAUUUGAUGGUCACUUGCUCUUUGUGCAUUUUGUAUGUAUAUUUGACUUGUUUGUUGGAUUCACCGAAUUCACUUAAUUCAUUUAGUUUGCCUA